GAGCUAAUGCUAACGGAGCAUGCCUGCCCCUGCACGCGGGCCCUCCCCUCGCUCCUGUCGGGAUACUGACCGAGGUAGAGCACGGUGGGGAUGAAGCCCCACCGGAUGACAAACUGCCCGCACUGGAACAGCUGCUGCAGCCGCUGUUUGGUCUCUUUGCUCAUCUUGGCCAUGAGUUUCUCCCGUGCUGCUCCGU